UGAGUCAGACAGAGUCUUAACAUGUGUUACGAAGUCCUAGAUCAAUCGGGUAGGGUAACGAAUUAGUGAUCGGGGGUUAAAAUACUUACAACGAGGUAGAGCUUCGUGUUUUAGGGGUAUUAUACGGAGGUGCAUUGCUAUAAUAGGGGCUUUAGAGAAAAGAAUUGAACGACUGAGACUGAGGCCGAAGGCCUCCUUUUAUAGGCCGGAAACUGGUUCCCUCGCGCCCCGCGACCCAUCACUUUCUCGCGGCCCGCGAGCCAGACCUAGCUACGGCUAGGUCUGGUUAGUCACCAACCUAGCUUAGCCAAGUGUCGUGCCACGUUGCACGUUGUGGUUUCGUCAGGUGCUACUUGGUCGCGACCCGCGAACCAACCCCCUGCCUUAGUCGUGGCCCGCGAGCAACCCUAUGUAUUUGUUUUAUUUGAUUUUUAUAAAAAUUAAGGUUAUACGGGUGUAAUUUAGCGUAUACAGGGUAUGUUUAGGGCGUUAGGGGUGUUUUAUGAGGGUUGUUAUACGUGGGUUCAUGCGCGUAUGUGUAGAAACGGUGCGUUCGCACCUUCGUAUCGGUGCUCGGUGCUGGCUCGCACAUCUCUCGUAGCAACUUCCAAACUUCAAUAACAAAGUAGUUUUGGAUCUGCAGUUGAUACAGAUGAGUCAAUAGCAUUUACCGAGAAUCAAAAGGAUGAGUUAAAAUGUCUGAACAUGUAGUAUAAAUACUAGGUGAAACCUGGUUACAACAGAACCAACAUCACAUGCAAACUAUACUCUGUUACUUUCUGAUCGUUCUCCUACUUGUCUCAAGGUAUUAUUUGGGUCCUUGCGCCAAUCCCGCCGGUACACACUACUUUGGCUGUUGUACCAUAGGAAACAACAUGAAUUCUUAGUAGAGACUAGGAAUUUGUUUUAAGGGUCAUGUGUCAAACACAACCCUCAGUCACCAGACCUUUCUGCUAAUCCAAUUUUCUUGUAUUCUGGUUUAUUUUAGUUGUAUCCGUAUUUUACUAUUUUCUUUAGAGUGAAUUACAAGUUUUGUCCUUUAUCUU
rnacentral:lncRNA from 1 species